GUAGGGAAUAUUGCGCAAUGGGGGAAACCCUGACGCAGCGACGCCGCGUGGAGGACGAAGUCUUUCGGGAUGUAAACUCCUGUCAGUGGGGACGAUAAUGACGGUACCCACAGAGGAAGCACCGGCUAACUCCGUGCCAGCAGCCGCGGUAAGACGGAGGGUGCAAGCGUUGUUCGGAAUUACUGGGCGUAAAGCGUAUGUAGGCGGCAAGUUAAGUUCAAUGUUAAAGCCCACGGCUCAACCGAGGAGAUGCAUUGAAUACUGGCUAGCUAGAGGGUGUUAGAGGAAGGCGGAAUUCCCAGUGUAGCGGUGAAAUGCGUAGAUAUUGGGAGGAACAUCGGUAGCGAAAGCGGUCUUCUGGGACAUACCUGACGCUGAGGUACGAAAGCGUGGGGAGCAAACGGGAUUAGAAACCCCAGUAGUCC
rnacentral:rRNA from 1 species